UACGGAGGGUGCGAGCGUUGUCCGGAAUCACUGGGCGUAAAGGGCGCGUAGGCGGCUCGGUAAGUAGGGGGUGAAAUCCUGCGGCUUAACCGCAGGGCUGCCUUCUAAACUGUCGAGCUCGAGCACGGUAGAGGCAGAUUGAAUUCCCGGUGUAGCGGUGGAAUGCGUAGAGAUCGGGAAGAACAUCAGUGGCGAAGGCGGUCUGCUGGGCCGUUGCUGACGCUGAGGCGCGACAGCGUGGGGAGCAAACAGG
rnacentral:rRNA from 1 species